UUUUCUUAGUAGCGGCGAGCGAAAAGAAAUCAGUUCAGCACUAAGUCACUUUGUCUUUAUGGCAAAUGUGAGAUGCAGUGUAUGGAACGUCUACAAUCUAGUAUGAGAAAUUAAUGAUUUAAGUCCUUCUUAAAUGAGGCCAAUUACCCAUAGAGGGUGCCAGGCCCGUAUAACGUUAAUGAUUACUAGAAGGCGAUUCCAAAGAGUCGUGUUGCUUGAUAGUGCAGCACUAAGUUGGUGGUAAACUCCAUCUAAAACUAAAUAUGACCAUGAGACCGAUAGUAAACAAGUACCGUGAGGGAAAGUUGAAAAGAACUCUGAAUAGAGAGUUAAAUAGUACGUGAAACUGCUUAGAGGUUAAGCCCGAUGAACCUGAAUAUCCGUUAUGGAAAAUUCAUCAUUAAAAUUGUAAUAUCUUUACUUUUUUUUUUUUUUAACAAAAAGAAAGAAAAUAUUAUAAUGAUAGUGUGCAUUUUUUCCAUAUAAGGACAUUGUAAUCUAUUAACAUAAUAAAAUAUUUAUCAAAAAGUCAUAAACAUAAAGUUUAUUUAAAUUAUUAUGCUUGCAUUUUAACAUAGAAUAAAUGUUAAUGAUUUGAUAAAGUGUUGAUAAAUUUAUCAUAUAUACAAUGCUUUAAUUUUUCGGAAUUAUAUAAUAGCAUAAUUAUCAUUGAUUUUUAUGUUUAUUAUAUGCAUUUGUAUGAUUAACAAUGCGAAAGAUUCAGGAUACCCUCGGGACCCGUCUUGAAACACGGACCAAGGAGUCUAACAUAUAUGCAAGUUAUUGGGAUUUUAUAAACCUAAUGGCAUAAUUAACUUAACUGUUAAAUAUAUGGGAUUAGUUUUUAAACUAUUUAUAGUUUAUUAACACAAUCCCGGGGCGUUCUAUAUAGUUAUGUAUAAUAAUAUUUAUAUUAUU
rnacentral:rRNA from 5 species